AAAAAAAAGGAAAAAAAAACAUUUUAGUAUCUUCAUUUGUAAGAUGUGGCUGCUGCUGCUGGUUUUGAAUAGAGCAAGGGCUGACCCAGCCUCUGGUGCAGCACUCCCUGGGCCCCUGGUCUCAGCAUUCCCGCCCCAAAAGGAUGGAGCCUGCUAGCCUGUGGCACAAACACUUUCCAGCUGGCUCGAGGGCUGAGGAGUCGGACGCCCAGGGACAAACCUGCGCAUCCCGGAGUCCUUCUGUCGGCACUGUGCUCUUCAUUGACGGGACCCAAGCUCUGAUGCGGUCAGCUGCGAGCCUUCUAGGGUCAUAGCUGCUGAAGAAUGACAGACUGCCACAAAACCCAGAACAUCUGCCCAGACUGCUACAGGAUACGCUGGAUCUCCUCCAGAGGCUCUGGCAGCAUAAUGCUGAUUUGUAAGAAACACUGUUGAAAUCCACGCAUACAAAGAAGUUUUUAAGUAACAAAGAACUGGCUAUUUCAGGCUUCUGGGGCGUCUGAGUUGAAGUUAUUUUUCCAUUAUUAAACGAU